UGGGGAAUAUUGCACAAUGGGCGCAAGCCUGAUGCAGCGACGCCGCGUGGGGGAUGACGGCCUUCGGGUUGUAAACUCCUUUCGCUAGGGACGAAGCUUUUUGUGACGGUACCGAGAUAAGAAGCACCGGCUAACUACGUGCCAGCAGCCGCGGUAAUACGUAGGGUGCGAGCGUUGUCCGGAAUUACUGGGCGUAAAGGGCUCGUAGGUGGUUUGUCGCGUCGUCUGUGAAAUUCCGGGGCUUAACCCCGGGCGUGCAGGCGAUACGGGCAUAACUUGAGUACUGUAGGGGUAACUGGAAUUCCUGGUGUAGCAGUGAAAUGCGCAGAUAUCAGGAGGAACACCGAUGGCGAAGGCAGGUUACUGGGCAGUUACUGACGCUGAGGAGCGAAAGCAUGGGUAGCGAACAGG
rnacentral:rRNA from 1 species